rnacentral:tRNA from 2 species
ACAUUGGUGGUUUAGUGGUAGAAUUCUUGCCUUCUAUGCAGGAGACUGGGUUUUGAAUCCCAGCCAGUGCA